rnacentral:tRNA from 1 species
GGUAAAAUGGCUGAGUGUAUAGGUAAUAAACUGUAAAUUUAUUUAGGAAAUUAUAAUUUCUUUUACCA